rnacentral:lncRNA from 1 species
CGGGGAUCGUAUUCCAGGGACCUGCCCGAAACGCUACGCGUACUAGUGGCUGUACAAGAAUGUAACAACUCUUGUAUAUAUCUCAAAAAAAAAAAUAGGUUUGUUCUCAUUUACAGUUUAAUAGCAUUAUAUAUCAAAUUUCUAUGUAUAAUUAGGCGUAGGUUAGUUUUGAUUAGGUGAUUAGAUUUUGUUUGCGAUUAUUUGAAUUUGAAGUAUGUGGGCAAAGCUUUUACAGCAUUGCGAAUCGAUCGGAGGUCGUCAGCGAAGCACUGUUCGAGAAAUGUUCGAACAUCAGCUGUGAGUCAAGUGUAAAGUUUUUUCGUUCAUAAACAGUAGGUUUGGCGGCUGUAUGGACGGGCUGCAAGUUAAAGAAGGUGUCGCACCGACUGUUUUAUGAAAUUCAGCGUCUAGUCGUAAGGAAACAUUGAUAGUGUGAAAAUGUGCGCGGCAGCGUUUUAAGUGUUGGAUUAAUACUUUACGGCUCUGAGGUCUAUCUUCUAAAACAUCAAAGUCUCCUGCAGUGAUCAAAACAUCUCACUGCCCAUGCGCCAGUACCGUACUUCCUUGACGGCGCGCGGUGAUUGGCUAACAGAAGUCACGUGCCGGGGAGGGCGGAGCGAGCGGGUGACGUCACGGAGCUGGAGUCUCUGGGGGUAGUGAUGUCGACUGGCUCAGUGUUCCAGUUGGGAUCGCGUGUAUUGGUGUGCGGUUACAUCAGGACUCUCAGACAUGAAGACUAUAGUGUUUCUCUCCAUUCUGGCUACAGGCUGGGGAACCGGGAUGUACGUCGAAAUAAAAGUUACGUCAUGAGAGGAAGGCCUGAGUGAUCAGCAUUAAGCAAGGGGCCUUGGAUGGCGGUGGUGGCGUCGACGCGGGGGAUUCAAACAGCGGAAGCCCACGUGAGCUGCUGCUGCUGUCUGAGGGAGGGGCUGAAGGGCGGUGAGGCUACGUGAUCUUGCCUGAUGAAGGGGCUGAAGGGCGGUGAGGCUACGUGAUCCUGCCUGAUGAAGGGGCUGAAGGGCGGUGAGGCUACGUGAUCCUGCCUGAUGAAGGGGCUGACGGGAUUGCUUGGUUGACUGAUGGAGAUUAAGCCACGCAAGAGGUGGCACGGGCAUGAGUUAGCCGGUAGAUUUAGAUUUUUUAUUCAGGUAAAGGUACAUACAUUUGAAGAUGAGUUACAGACAUAAUGUUGGAUUUAAAGAUAGAGAGAGCUAGUACAUACAAUACCUAAAGUCGCUAAUACGCAUAGCGUUUCGGGCAGUGAAGUGAAUGUGAUCUUGAGUCGUGAAGGGAUGACUGACGGGGCACUUGAGGCCGAUUGAUUGAUUGAUGAAGAUUAAGCCACCCAAACUGUGGCACGGGCAUGAAUAGCCCGUAAGUGGUGGCCCUUUGGAGCCAUUGGCAGAAUCAUUAGCUGAUACUGGAGAUCUGUGGAGAUGCGACUGCACCCUGCGGAGAGGUCGUGACCUCUCGACUUGAGGCCGAUUGAUUGAUUAAGAUUAAGUCACUCAAGAGGUGGCAUGGGCAUGAAUAGCCCGUGGACUUGAGGCCCCGUCAUCCCUGCUGAUAAUCUGCCUGAAGGAUGGCCAGACGAAGUGAGGUGCUGCCUGAUGGAGGAGGGGGCACAUUAGGUGCUGGACGGGAUGGGUAUGGGGUGCAUAAUAAAGAAAGAAAUUGAAUUGGUGUCUGUGGCUUGUAAGGUGUUGUGUGCUGAGGUAGGACUUCUCAGCCGUUGGUUAUAACAUACUAAAGGUCAAUUAUAUAUAGUGAUCUUUGUUUUUGUUCUAAUGUAGGAUGUUUCUCUGACCUGAAAUUUUAAUCUAAAAUAGCGUAUGGCAUGUCAUGAUUUUUUGCAUAUCUUUUGCUAUUAUGGUAGAUGUUGGAUUCCUAGAGCGAAAAGCACUGGAUUUUCUUUUGUUGGUGUGGUGUAGCAAGAGGCAUUAGGCACGGAUUCCGAGACAGCGCGAUGUCCCAACCUCGUCACCAGGUUGAACGCAAUACUUGCUGAUGAGCUAAGCUGACGUCAUAAGUUUGCGGUUUGUUGUUACUGACGGUUGCAAGGUCCACUCAUUCUCGCAGGCGUUGAUGGGUUGCAAGGUCCAGUCAGUCCUGUGGUCGUUGUCUAAGACAGUCAUGUUAAGUGUAAUCAUGUCGUUGUUGUUGUUUUUAGAUUCAGCUACUGGGAACAAAAAGUUCCAAGCAGCACGGGGCUAUGGUGAGCUCAUCUGGCACAGAUGUGCAGAUGUCAAUCAUGUGGUGAGAAAAAUGUCUUUGGUGACCCCCCCCCCCCACACACACAGGCGCGCCUCCCCAGACCAAUGUCCUUGACAGUGACGUGGGGGGAAAACCGAGAUGGUUUCUGAAACGUCAUUUGUGAAUUUCAAGGUUUGAUGCUGUUGUUGUUGUCUCCGCGGUUGAGUACUUUGGUAAGAUUUAUUACUAUUUGUAAAACAUCUUUUCCGCACCGAGCGUUUAUUAGAGAUCAGUUACAUUUAGAGGUUGGUUGUUAAACGAUUUGGUAGGUCGUAUUCCUUGGAAAAAUUAGUAUUAAAGAAAUGCCCGAAACGCUAUGUGAACUAGUAGCUUUACAAGAAUGUAAGAACUCUUGUAUAUAUAUAAAUAAAAAAAAACAUAAGAGAACUGAGAACUCGGAAGUCCGGAUUUGAACUGAGAAGAGUUCAUAUCCAGGUACCUUGCAAUAUAUUUUAUGCAAUCGAACUAAUUGAUUUGAAUAAAACCAGCUGUUAGGUUGCGAAAUACUUGCUUGAAAUACUACUCGGUUGUGCAGUUAUCAGUAAAAUAUUUAAAAAGUGAUAUAGGUGUUAUUAAAUCCCACGCAGUGAUGUUCACAUGGUGUAUAAUACUCGUUUUCAGAUUUUUCUGAAGGAAACAUAUCUUGUAAAUAUUAUAUUUUGUUCUAAGUGUUCAAUUAAAAAAAUAUAUACAUAUAUUUAAUAUUUCGUAUUAUGUCUUGGCUUUAAUUUUGUAUUGUAUUAUGAAGGCUUAUAAAAUAUAUAAGUUUUUAUAAAAUAUAUGCAGUUUUUCAAUUCACCUGCAGGAUUAACGAUACUUGUUCACGGCGUUCACAGCCAGGCAUGAAGCUCGUUGAUGAAAUAUUAAACUACAAUUUUUUAUAAAUGUCCAUUUUAAAAUACUCACAAAGCAUGGAUACUGUGUAAUAUAAACCAGUCACUCGCAAUUGCUGAAUAUCUGCUAACCCUAUGAAGCGGAUAUAAAAAAUUACCCUUUAAUUUUGUUAUACAGUAUUUCACAUUAUUUUCCUUUUUUGCGUUAAUUUAUAUUUGAUUCAAUAUUUACAUUCUCCAGUGUUUUACUGUUAUUCGACACUUUUACACUAUAGUCUUA